GUGCAUGCUUAAAAAAAGGCCUCUGAAUCAUAUAAUAAUUUCUUCAAUUUUACUAUUCAUAAGCCUAAAAUAUUACGUAGUUAUAGACUAUAUAUAAAAUAUUGAAGUGCGUAGGCCUACAGUUGAUAGUCGCAUAGACUCCGUUAUCUACGUAUAUGAUAUAUGCCGCCAUUUUGGGUCAAGGUCAAGAUAAAUUACAGUCAAUACAAAUGAAUAACUACAUCGAUAGAUUAUUAAAUGUAAUUUCUAUUAACUGAUUUCAAUGUUAGGUGGUCUAUGUUUGUUGUCUUUUUCAGUAUAUUGUCCACAUUGAUUAAACUAUCAUUAUUAAAAUCAUUUUGAUUCUUCUAUAUUUGUACGUACUUUUUUACAACUCUGAACCCGGAAGCGAGGUAUUCUGGGAAGGUUAUUUUAAAGAUGGCGGGCGUUUUGGAAUUUAUUCGUGGAGUGCAUGAGAAAUGUUCAAUAUACAGCUACUUGGAUUACACAAACAGAGAAAGAUAGAUUAUACCAGUUAAAUUGAGAGGUUUUAUUUGAAAAUCCUAUAUUUGAGCACCAUUCAUGGCAGUCAUGUCGAAGAAGUUAUAAAAAGGUUGAUAAGGGCUUUGUAUAUGGAAGCUAGAUGACAUUACUACUUAUCAUACACAACUAUUUGUCACAUACCGACUUGGGAUUGAAACCAAGCGACUGAACUCAAUAACACUCCUCAAUAACACUCGUCUAUGAAACCACCCAGAUGGCAAAGAAAUAAAGACUUUUUAAUUAUGUACCGAACUCAUAUAUGUAUCUAUGGUAGCACAAAAUUCACCAGAAUGUAGGCCAAAGCUUUACUUUACAAGCAGUAGGCUUAAAAUAUUUUCCGUCUGAUCUUGUAAGAGUCAAUUGUUUAUGAAUAGUUUGCCUCAAGCAGAUAUCCUGUCACUGUGUCACAGUAUCAUAUAACCGCUCUUUGGCUUGAACUGAGUUGUAUCAGUGAGUUGAAAAUCUACUGCAGCCAGUAUAUUAGAUUCAAAAUUCUAACGAGCUUUCGUCUAACUUCUACUUCUGUUCAUGUAUUUUUUAACUUCUAUUCAUGUAAUUUCUAACUUCUAUUCAUGUAUUUUGUUAAAUUAAGACAAUGUAUAAUCCAACUUCUUUAUUUGUUCAGUGUAAAUUUUAAUUCUAUUCCAUCUUAUUUCUAUUAUUUAGACGAAAAACGUCUUCUUAAUUUUUACACUUCUGCCUAGCAACCAUCAUUAUGAAGUCAUUUGGUGUCGCCACUGCGUGCUCAUUUUUGGUGAUUGCGCACCUGGUCGGGACCAUUGUGUUGAUAUAAACGACACAUUCUUGAUAAAGACGAGAGUGUCCUCGUCGAAACGUUGCUUUAUAUUAAACUCAGUAAGAGUUAUCUAUAAAAUUGUACCCUGUGUUAAUGUAGACCAACAGUAUAUAAAUAUUAAUUGGCUCAACUUGUCUUAAAAAAAAUGAACAAAUGCUGUUUAGCUUGUAUUUGAAAUAGAAAAUGAAAUAUAAUGGGGUUUAACAUCCUACUAUUCUACUCCGAACUUGGCUAAUACGCCAUACAGUGUGCUACGAAGGAAACUUUGCCCGGACAGCGGCACUACGGAACGAUUAGACAGCUGUACUUGUUAGGCCCUCCAUCCUGCAUCACUGACAAGGAGGAACCAUGCCGGAAAAUCUGGAUGAACUUUCUUGACCAAUGCAGGGAUCGAACACCCUACCGCUAGGCUAGUGAGCCAGCGUCUUACCGACCGUAUUUGAAAUCGUAUUUGCAAACCAUACAUAGAUAUCAUGUUCAAUGUUGUUUGUGGGGUUGGACGGUCGAAAGGUUAGCACGUGCGCGCUGUACCAUAAGGUAUGUCAUUGAGUCAACUGGUGUGGUUUCGAUUCCCCGGUUGUACGUGACAAGGAAUAGGGUCGCCUUUCCAACCUAGUGGGUUUUCUCCGGGUCCUCCGGUUUCCUCCCAUUGCUAAACACCCCUACGCGCAAGCGAAUUAUUGAAAUAAAAUUGAACCAUGUUAAUACCGAACCUACAUGUAGUUUGUGUUGAGUGGACGUUUAACCCCAUCAGACUCUCUCUCUCUCGCUCUCUCUCUCGAAGUUGUUUUCAAUUUUAGCACUCCACCAAACCAUUCAACUGGACUAAGAGCGAGUCGUUUGUAUCAACAGAAUGGUCCCGAUCAGGUGCUCAAUCGCCAAAUUGAGCGAACGGUGGCGACACCAAACGACGUCAUAAUGAUGGUUGCUAGGUAGAAAUCAAAAUUCUAAAUUUGUUUACCAUUCAUGCUUAACAUGUAAAGUGACUAGACAUUUUUCGCCUUAAUAAUAGAAAUAAGAUGAAACAAUUAAAAUUUACACUGAACAAAAAAAGAAGUUGAAUUAUACAUUGUCUUAAUUUAGAAAUUACAUGAAUGGAAGUCAGAAAUUACAAGAGUAGAAGUAAGAAAUUAGACGAUAGCAUGUUAGAAUUUUGAAUCUAAUAUACCGCCAUAGUAUACGGGGAAACUUUUUAAACCCUUACAAAUUCUUCAAAUUUUUGUGAUAGAUCAAUAAUAGCAAAAAUCUGUGUUAAAAUUAUAUUUGUAAUGUGUUUAACAAAUUCUAUCACACAUGUAAUAUUGGUGUAAUUAAGUAUAUACCUUAUUUCAAUACUGGGGUAUUAUAUCGUUGCCCUGACUGUUUGUUUGUCCAAAUUAGUUUGUGAUUGUGAAGGUGACAGUUUUUUAUACGCUAACAUUUUCAUGUAGACGUAUAUUUUUGUAGCCCCUGUCCGUCCGAACGUCCAUCGGUCCGUCCACAAUUGUUUGUGGGACCGUAACUUCAUGGAUUAUGGCCCCUGAUUGUACUGAAAGUCAUGUUUUCAGCUUGUGGACCCUAUAGAGGUCAAAAUUUUUAUAUGCCCACAUUUUCAUGUGGACGUAUAUUGUGGUAGCCCCGGUCCGUCCGGACGUCUGUACACAAUUGUUUGUGGACACUCUACAGGUCACAAUUCUUAUCCGAUUUUGACGAAACUUGAAAUAUAGGUUUAUCUCCAAAAGAUCUUGGUUGCUUUCGAUAUUGGCAUGUAUCUGACUGUAACUUCUUGGAUUAUGGUCCCUGAUUGUACGAAAAAUCAAGUUUUUAGCUUGUGGACCCUAUAGAGGUCACAAUUUUUAUACGCCCACAUUUUCAUGUGGACGUAUAUUGUCGUAGCCCUUGUCCGUCUGGACGUCCAUCCGUUUUUAGCUUGUGGUCCCUAUAGAGGUCACAAUUUUUAUACGCCCACAUUUUCAUGUGGACGUAUAUUGUCGUAGCCCCUGUCCGUCCAGACGUCCAUCCGUUUUUAGCUUGUGGUCCCUGUAGAGGUCACAAUUUUUAUUCGAUUUAUAAAAAAAAAACCAUGUGUAUAUAUAACCAUUACACACUAAGAUCUUGGUUCCUUUUCAUAAUCGCGCAUAUCCGAACGUAACUUCCUCGAUUAUGGCUCCUGAUUGUUCGAAAAAUCGCAUAAUCAAGG